rnacentral:lncRNA from 1 species
AUGAGGAUGCGAGUUCAAUCCCUGGCCUUGCUCAGUGGGUUAAGGACCCGGUGUUGCCAUGAGCUGUGGUACAGGUCACAAAUAUGGCUCAGAUCUGGUGUUGCUGUAGCUGUAGCUCUGAUUAAGACCCCUAGCCUGGAAACCUCCACAUGGGUGUGGCCCUUAAAAAAAAUCUGUAAUUAUAGAGUAAGGUUCACAUCUAUUAUUGGGAAGAGAAACAAAACACCUGCAACCAAGUGGGCAGUAACUCUUCCAGGUGGUGUGUUUCAGCUCCAGGUUGGGAGAUCUGAAGGAUAGUGACCAUAUCUUCUGAACCCCAAACUAUGUCACAUUAGCCAAGAAGGGGGUAAACGAUCAGGUCUUGGUGGGGAAGGGUCCAUGGCCAGACCAUAGCCAGCAUCAUGCUAUUUAUUGUGUGUCCAUCUUUCUGCUCCCAAGAAGCCCUAGGAGAACUGGAACAGUUCUUUAUUUCUUUGUGUGGCUGGGAUGGCCUGGCAGUGGAAGGGCAAGAUCAGAUUUCCAAGCUCCCUCCCAAAAGGAAGAGGCUUCUCUCCAAGGUAGCAGAAAAGGGGUAGAGUGAAGGUUCCCCUCAGCAGAGAGGGCACCCCUGUGGACAGGACAGGCCUACCAAGGAAAGCUGAGGCCAGACAGCUGGGAUUUCUCAGGCAAUCCUUUAAAGAUGCUAAUGGAACACUCUGGGUACCACAUACAAACCUCCUCCAUUCAUCUGUGGCAGAAGUUCCUUUGUUAGUGAAAAAAAUUGCCUCUCUCCUGGGUACCCGAUUUGGUAGGCAGGACUUUUAGGGGACAUCAAAGGUUUCACACAACAGGCAAGUGCUAUACCUCUUUAUUUUUACUUCUUUAAUUUUUUUGCUUGUUCCGCUUUUUUUUUUUUUUCUUUUUUCUUUUCUUUUUUUUUUUUUUUAAGGCCCGCACCCACAGCAUAUGGAAGUUCCCAGGCAAGGGGCUGCAUCCGAGCUAUAGCUAUUGGCCUACACCACAGCCAUAGCAACGUGGGAUCCAAGCCUUGUCUGUGACCUACAUCACAGCUUUUGGCAAUGCCGGAUCCCCAACCCUUAACCCACUGAGUGAGGCCAGGGAUCA